GCCUGCGCCGCCGCAGGGGCCGCUGCUGGUUGGUCCGCACUUGGAACGUCUCCUGGUCUUGUUGACCCGGGCCCUUCGGAACCUCCAGCUUGGUCUGGUCCGGGACUGGACGCCCGCCAUGGCGGCUACUGCGGCGGAGACGCGCGUGUUUCUGGAGGUGCGGGGACAGCUGCAGAGCGCGCUGCUGAUCCUGGGAGAACCGAAAGAAGGAGGUAUGCCCAUGAAUAUUUCCAUAAUGCCAUCUUCACUCCAGAUGGAAAUCCCUGAAAGCUGCACAGAAAUCCAGCUUCCAGCAGAGGUCAGGCUUGUACCUUCCUCUUGCCGUGGGCUACAGUUUGUUGCUGGAGAUGGACUGCACCUGCGGCUGCAGGCACAAGCAGAAUUAGGCACAAAACUGAUUUCAGUGUUUAAUCAAAGCUCGCAAGCCCAAGAAUGUUGCACGUUUUAUUGCCAAUCCUGCGGUGAAGUCAUAAUAAAAGACAGGAAGCUCCUCAGGGUGCUCCCACUGCCAAGUGAGAACUGGGGAGCUCUAGUUGGAGAAUGGUGUUGUCAUCCUGACCCCUUUGCUAAUAAACCACUUCAUCCGCAAGAGAAUGACUGUUUUAUUGGAGACUCUUUCUUCUUGGUGAAUUUAAGAACCAGUUUGUGGCAGCCAAGACCUGAACUAUCCCCGGUGGAGAUGUGCUGUGUUUCUUCUGACAACCAUCGUAAAUUGGAACCAAAGGCAAAUACCAAAGUAAUUUGUAAGCGUUGCAAGGUAAUGUUGGGAGAGACCGUGUCAUCAGAAACCACCAAGUUUUAUAUGACAGAGAUAAUUAUUCAGUCAUCUGAGAGGAGUUUUCCUAUCAUACCAAGGUCUUGGUUUGUCCAGAGCGUGAUCGCCCAGUGUCUGGUGCAGCUCUCCUCUGAUAGAAGCACUUUUAGAUUCACGAUUCAAGGUCAGGACGGCAAAGUGUAUAUCUUGCUAUGGCUUUUAAAUUCAGACAGUUUGGUGAUUGAAUCUUUGAGAAAUUCCAAAUAUAUCAAAAAAUUCCCCUUGUUGGAAGACACAUUGAAAGCCGAUUCUAGUUCUGCCUGGAGUGCUGUCAAGGUCCUCUACCAGCCAUGCAUCAAAAGCAGGAAUGAAAAACUUGUCAGCUCGUGGGAAAGUGACAUCAGUGUCCACCCGCUAACCCUGCCCUCUGCAACCUGCUUGGAGCUGCUGUUGAUAUUAUCAAAGAGUAAUGCCAAUCUGCCUUCAUCCCUUCGCCAUAUGAAUUCCUUUCAGGUGGUAUCCAGGUUACAGCAUCAUCACCAGAUGCUCAGGCACCCAGGCCAGAACCCUUGGAAUCAAGGAUUCUCUCCAGACCUCUCAGCCUGGCUUUCAAGGUCCUCCACAACUGAAUCCUGCAAUUGACUGAAUGUUUCUGUCCCCUUAAAAUUCAUGUAUUGAAAUCUGAACCCUCAAUGAGAUGGUAUUAGGAGGUGGGGCCUUUUGGAAGGCAAGACAUAACAAGAAGUCAGCAAUCUGCAAACCAGGAAACAGCCUGCACCAGAGCCCAACAAUGAUGGCGCCCUGCUCUUGGACUUCCAGGCUCCAGAACUGUGAGAAAUAAAUUUCUAUUGUGUGUAAGCCACCAAGCCCAUGGUGCUUUAUUAGAGCAGGCUGAGCUGACUAAGGCAGGUCCUAACCUAUUUUUCUAGCCCACAAUUCCUCCCUGAUGUUAACUUUCUGGGCAUGCUAGCCAGACUCCCCUGAGGCCUCCCUCAUGCUUUCUAUUCUCCUCUUCACACCUUGUUAAUGAAGUGCCCCUGCCUGAAACACCUCUGCCCAAACCCAUCCCACUUCUUAAAACCUUUCCUCAUUCUUUCAGGUCGAAUGAGUUACUCCCCCAGGUCCCCCAUAGCAUUCGCUUAUACCUCACAUUCCCUGCAUCAUGUCACAGCUUUUUGGGUUGAAGACUUUCUCCCCAGUUACACUACAAGACUUUUAUGAUGAAUGACCCGGUCUUAUUCAUUAGUGUGAUUUCACUACUUAGUAGUAAGUCUACUGAAAUGAAUUUUGCUGAAAUGAAGACACAAUCACUUGGUCCUGAGCAGAGGCUACCUUUGAAAAUGACCUUAAUGGCCCGUUUCUUCUCUGAACCAGAUCAUCCUUGAUAGGAGACCAUAUCUUGAAGGAGUAGGUCGUUAUGAAGCCACAUGGAACAGGGUGGCUUAGAAACAUAUCCAGAGCUUUUUACUGCGCAAAGCCCAAACUAGGCUAAUUAACUGAAGUGAAAGCAGGAAGAAAGUUUACAGAGUUAUGUACUGUGGCAUGUUCUUAACAAUGUGGAUUUUUUUUCAUAAAAAGGGGAUCCUAAAUCAUUUUCUACUUUUCUUGUGUGUGUGCAAUCAGUAUGGGGCAAAUCUGACAGGAUACUAGGAUGCCACACAGAAUAAAAUCCAUAGAUAUUAUUUUUAAAUAUAUAUUGACAAAUUGUAUAUAUUUAUAGGAUACAAAGUGAUGUCAUUUUUUAAUAGAAUGUGCCAUAAUUAAAUCAAGUGAAAUAAUAUAUCCAUCAUCUCAAACAGCUCACAUUUUUUUGUGAUAAGAAAAUUUGAAAUUUAUUGUUUUAGCGAUAUUGAAAUAUACAGUACUGGGCCAUGAGGU